UUAGGGUUUCCUCUGGGGUAAGUGAUUGCUUCUACACUGUGAAAAUUUGGCUGAGAGACUCAGACUGGUCAUGGGUAGACCUAUCUGGGGUUUGAUCGAUGCCACUCCUGGUUUCAGGAGUACCCUUCAUAAUAAACCUAGAAAUUCAGUAUUAUAAAGUUUAAUAAAAAACAACUUUUAACAAUGGAUCUCUUGGUUCUCGCAUCGAUGAAGAACGUAGCAAAGUGCGAUAACUAGUGUGAAUUGCAUAUUCAGUGAAUCAUCGAGUCUUUGAACGCAGCUUGCACUCUAUGGUUUUUCUAUAGAGUACGCCUGCUUCAGUAUCAUCACAAACCCACACAUAACAUUUGUUUAUGUGGUGAUGGGUCGCAUCGCUGUUUUAUUACAGUGAGCACCUAAAAUGUGUGUGAUUUUCUGUCUGGCUUGCUAGGCAGGAAUAUUACGCUGGUCUCAGGAUCUUUUUUUUUGGUUCGCCCAGGAAGUAAAGUACAAGAGUAUAAUCCAGUAACUUUCAAACUAUGAUCUGAAGUCAGGUGGGAUUACCCGCUGAACUUAAGCAUA
rnacentral:rRNA from 1 species